UUGCUUUUGCUUUUGACCUGCCUCAUAUUUCCUGUGGUUCAUGCAUCUAAUCUGCAGUCAUUUCUUUCCUUCUCAUCUCCACUCAUUUCUUUCUAAUCUACUCGAUUUUCCCCUGUUGGUCUUUCAAAUUGCAGUGCGGGUGUGCGGCGGAGGAAGAUAUUUAGCUGCGUCAUCUUCGAAGUCUUAUGUGGAUCAAUCUACAUGGUUGUGCUUGCCUACGCCUAGUUCUCCAAGUGCUUCAGCUGUUGAUGAUUCUUCAGAGACCAAGAGGGGAGUGGGUUUGCGAAGAUGAUUCGCUUGAUCUCUCCCUCAUCACUGAGACAGGGCAAAUUAUUGUUCCCCAAUCCGACCAUAUCACUAUUUUAAUUUUUAAUUCGUUUGGUUCCUCAAUCUCAUAUUGGUGGUUAUUGUAGACAAAAAAUGGGGAUUAGAUGAGACCUAUAUCAUAUACAAGUGCUGAAGUGCCUUCUUAGGUUUCCUAUUACCUUCCCAAAUGAUCAAAUGGGUCAUACAAAAACCCAGAGACGUAACUUUGAGGAGACGUCCUUUCUCUGUUUUUUCCUUUCCCUUUUGCUUUUCUUAUGAGUACAAAUUUGUUUUGGUUCAUCUUUAUUUUAUGUGUGAUGUUGUUUUAUUCUUUAUGAAUCAUCUUCACUGGUGAGUUGGGAGAUUAAUUUGGUUUUUGUUUUGGGCUGAAUUUUGAUUUUGUUCUCGAACGUGUUCAUCUUCAUUUGUUGGGUUCUACUUCGAAUUGUGAAUUCUUAUUCGUGGGAUGUAAAGGCGGAACUCUUGCUUGAUUAUACUUGAUUUUGUCGCCAAGUAAAUAAAGUAAUUUGUUAAUGAGGUUAUCUAUGGCAGGUCUUAAUCAUGGUUCACUCUUGCAAUUGUUUGAUAUAUAUGGUGGAUAUACCUGUUGUGUAUUAGUAGUUGCAUGGUCAGAACCACAAUUUCAACUAUGAACUGUUGACUUCUAAGAGUAUGUAGUAUCAUGACUUAGCUUGAGAAUUGAAGGAUCAUCAACUAAUUUGUUUUCUUUGUGUUUUCAUGAUAGGUUGAAAGAUUUAAAUAUCAGAGAAAUCAGGUCACUUGAAGAUGUGCCGGCGACAUCAGCAAGUUUUGAUGGAAUUUCUGUUCAAAAUGGGGGGAAGAAGCUUAGGAUGUUCCUCAUACAAUAUGAUAAUCAAAGGAUGGCUUUUGGGAGAGCAUAAACUGGAGGAACUACACCUCUUAACGUUCAAGGAAAGCCCAUUAAGGAUCUGUCAAAAACUGGUGAAAGAAGCUCAAAAACUCAUAUUGGUACACCAGAAACUCACAAGCUUGAUGGGAAGGACCUACAAGAGGUUACCUAUUGGCACAACAGUGGUCAAGCAUCUCAUCAUGCCCCCAAAUAAGUAACGUCCAUCAACUGGAAGUAGUUAUUGAUGGAUCAAACUCAAAUGUGGGCAAGAUAGUUGCAUCUUGGUGUAUUAUGAUUUCAUGGACUACGUAAAGAAUAUAUAUGCUCUAUAAUCACUGUUGAUUCAUUCAAUUCCUUUGUGAAGAUGUAUUCUCUGUGGCACGUUUGCUGUUGUAUGUCACAGCUUUUCUUUGCAUGUGAUAAUCAAGGGAGAAAUAACAAAGGAGGACGAUUAAGGCAACAACUUAUUUUCAUAUUUUUGGUCAUAAUAUACGAUUCUGAAUAGGGUUUGUGUGUCCAUGUGUUACAGUGCUAUACAUAGCUCUUUAUUUCAAUGGUGUAUACUAUUUCUGUCAUUUGUAACAGCAAUUUUGCUUGAUAGUUUAUUUCACAUCUCCUGUAAUUUUUAAUUCUGGCAUUUGCUUAAUGAAGUUCUGAAUAAUUUACAGAU